GCAAGCCUGAUCCAGCCAUGCCGCGUGAUUGAUGAAGGCCUUAGGGUUGUAAAGAUCUUUUCAGAUGGGAAGAUAAUGACGGUACCUUGCGAGAAGAAGCUCCGGCUAACUCCGUGCCAGCAGCCGCGGUAAUACGGAGGGAGCUUAGCGUUGUUCGGAAUUACUGGGCGUAAAGCGUACGUAGGCGGAUUAUUAAGUCAGGAGGGUGAAAUCCCAGGGCUCAACCCUGGAACUGCCUUUGAUACUGGUAGUCUAGAGGUCGAGAGAGGUGAGUGGAAUUCCGAGUGUAGAGGUGAAAUUCGUAGAUAUUCGGAAGAACACCAGUGGCGAAGGCGGCUCACUGGCUCGAUACUGACGCUGAGGUACGAAAGUGUGGGUAGCAAACAGGAUUAGAUACCCUGGUAGUCCACACCGUAAACGAUGAAUGCUAGUCGUUGGGGGACUUGUCCUUUGGUGACGCACCUAACGGAUUAAGCAUUCCGCCUGGGGAGUACGGUCGCAAGAUUAAAACUCAGGAUUUUUUGGGGGG
rnacentral:rRNA from 1 species